rnacentral:rRNA from 1 species
UGAGGGAUAUUGCGCAAUGGGGGAAACCCUGACGCAGCGACGCCGCGUGAGUGAUGAAGGCCUUCGGGUUGUAAAGCUCUGUCAGAGGGAAAGAAAGGGGAUGCGGAAUAAUACCCGCAGCCAUUGACGGUACCCUCGGAGGAAGCACCGGCUAACUCCGUGCCAGCAGCCGCGGUAAUACGUAGGGUGCAAGUGUUAUUCGGAAUCACUGGGCGUAAAGAGCACGUAGGCGGAUGGGUAAGUCAGAUGUGAAAUCCCGGGGCUCAACGUCGGAACUGCAUUUGAUACUGCACGUCUUGAGUGUGGUAGAGGGGGAUGGAAUUCCCGGUGUAGAGGUGAAAUUCGUAGAUAUCGGGAGGAACACCAGAGGCGAAGGCGAUCCCCUGGGCCAUUACUGACGCUGAGGUGCGAAAGCGUGGGGAGCAAACAG